UUUCCGUAGGUGAACCUGCGGAAGGAUCAUUAUCGAAUUACUGAGAGUUGUUGCUGGGUGCCAAGACACCAAGUGCACGCCUUCCUUCAUACUCAAACCCCUGUGCACCUAUUGUAGGCUUGGUCGUAGGGCUGGCUUCGGUCGGUCUGAAAGCCUGGCCUAUGCUUUAACACACGCUUCAGUCUAUGAAUGUCAUUGCGGAUAACGCAUCGUAUACAACUUUCAGCAACGGAUCUCUUGGCUCUC
rnacentral:misc_RNA from 1 species